rnacentral:tRNA from 1 species
GCAGAUGAGUGGAACGGAUAACCACGCUUGCCUCCUAAGCAAGAAAUAGCAGGUUCGACUCCUGUAUCUGCUA